UGCUCAGGCCCCGCCCUGCUCCCGCCGGCCCCGCCCCUCUCCGCGCGACCCUAUUGGCUUGACGCAGCCCACGGCAUUCUUCCAUUGGUCCAUGGACUCCAUGGUUCCCUCAGGAUCUUUCUCCUGCAUUUUGUUGCAGACCACAAUGCACCGCUCACGGCGUCGGUUGCCCGGGCAAUGGGCCGCACGCGACGAGGCACACACACCCAGAAGGUGGAGCCCCGGCCCGGUUACGAGGACCACCCAGCUGUCUGGCGAGAUGAAGAAAAUGAGGUUCAAAGAGAUGAAGUCUCUUGCCUAAAGUCAGUGACAGAAAGUGACAGAGCUGGGAUGUGAAUCCUGGUCUGACUCCACAGUCCCACAUGGUAGAUGGAACCUCUGAGCAACACCUAAACAAAGGGAGCUGAUGCCUCCGAACAGAGUGAUGUCGCUGGAGACACUAAGCAUCGUCGGCCCCUGGCGGGAGCUCCCUAAAUAUGUGUUGGAUGGAUGGAUGGAUGGAUGGAAGAAAGGAUGGAUAGUUCAGAGUACUUCAGCCUUGAUUCCUCCGCAACAGACACCUCAAACUUGACCCUACAUUGGUUCUUGGCCAUCGUGAUCUUCCUUGGACAGAAUCACCUUUCAGCUCCGGUCAUCAGACUUUCCCAGGGCCCUCAGAAAGCCCUUCAGAGUUGUUACUCACAGGCAGGCUGAGGGAUUCCUUGCGGGGUCUGCAGCUCUCCUCACCUCAUCCACAAGUAGGACCGUGGCCUGUGCCUCACUACUGCCCCAGGAUCACUCUGUUCCCAGCCCAGUCCAGCAAUCACUUGUCUAGCUUUCUGGGACCUUGAGUACUUUCUUGAACCAUGAGUCCUGUGACCACCCUAGCAGCUCUAACCCUCCCUUAUCUGAAAGGAAGUGUGAGGUGACCUUGCAGGUCCCAGAGUUGAUUGAAGACCCCAUCCAGAAAGAAGGCACCCUGUGGGAGAGAUUGCAAGGCCUAGGUCUGAAUCCGGAAGCUUCCACCCCAUGGAGAAGGGCUGGCACCAGCCUGGGGCUGACAGUGGAGCUGAGCUUUGGAGCCAAGGACUGUACUGCAGUGCAGGGACAGUGAGGCCAGAAAGGCUGAGACAACUCAGGGAAAGAAAACCUCCCUUCUGGCUAAUAGUCAAGCACUGCCUGAGUGGACCAACACUCUCUUGUCCACAGGGGCAGCAGAUGAAGACACAUCCAGAGAGGACUAACAGGCCCCCUCAGCUCCCAGUCAGAGGGCAGAGCAACACAGAACAGACAUUAAAGGAACAGACUUUGAGGCCAGGCAGCCUUGGGUGUGCAUCUGUCCCUACUAAGCCAUGUGACAUUAAGCAAGUGAGUCCACCUCUCUGAGCCUCAGGUUCCUCAUCUGUAAAAUGGGGAUUAUAAGAGUUCUUGUUUCUCAGGGACAAUGUGAGGAUUAAGUGAGAUGAUACACAUAGAGAAUGUGGUGCAGUACUGGGCACAUGGCAAAGAUCAGUGAUGCUAGCUACCACUUAUCAUUAGUGUUCCUGUAGACCAGGACUUCUCAACCUUGGCACUAUUCACCUUUUGGGCCAGAAAGUUUUUUUUGUUGUUGUUGUGGGGAGCUGUCCUAUGCAUCUGAGGAUGUUUAACAGCACCCCUGGCCUCUACCCACUAGAUGCCAAUCACACCACACCCCCAGUUUCAACAACCAAAAAUGUCUGCAGAUGGUGCCGAAUGUCUUCUGGAGGGUGAAAUCACUCCCCAGCAGUUGAAAAGCACCACCCUAAACAAUCUGGACUGAAUUUGAAUGUCACAGAUCCCAAGCUCACAGCUCCAUGUAAAGGCCACAAGGCAGGCAGGCCUACUUGCAGAUGAAGGAACGGAAAGAGCAACAAUUACAGAUCAAGCGGCUAGCUCUGGUGUAGACUAAGAGGCGGGAUCUGUAGUCUGCUCUAGGAGCUAACAAGGCCUCUGUGACUCAGUAGGUGACCUCAGUGUCACUCUUUAAUUAUAUGCAAAGUGGUCUUGUGUUAACUCUUAAUUAUUCUAGGGCUCCAAACAAGAAAAUAGGUAGUUGGUAUCUGAUUUCUGGCAUCAAGAUCCUGAUUCAUUGACUGGGAGAAAAUCUGACUCUCCAAAACUCUUUCAGAGUUCAUUUAGCCCUUCAUUUAUGACUCUGGGGAGAUUUCUGAGCAAGAGCUAGGUGUCAGGCCCUGUUCCAGGUGCUGGAGAUGCACAAGAGAACAAAAUAGGCAAAGUUUCCUUUUUAUGGAACUUAGAGCAGGAGAAUAAAGAUAAAAACAAGCAAAAAUAUUUAUCUCUGAUAAGGGCAAUGGAUAAAAAUAAAGUAGAAUAGGCUAGGCACGGUGGCUUACGCCUGUAAUCCUAGCACUUUGGGAGGCCAAGGCGGGCAGAUUGCCUGAGCUCAGGAGUUCGGGACCAGCCUGGGCAACACGGUGAAACCCCGUCUCUACUAAAAUACAAAAAAUUAGCUGGGCGUGGCAGCAUGCACCUGUAGUCCCAGCUACUUGGGAGGCUGAGGCAGGAGAAUUGCUUGAACCUGGGAGGCAGAGGUUGCAGUGAGCUGAGAUCGCGCCACUGCACUCCAGUCUGGGUGACAGAGUGAGACUCCACCUCAAAAAAAUUUUAAAAAGUAGACUAAGAGAACCAAGCAUCGCUGGGUGAGGGGUCUUGUUUUAAAGAGUUUUCUAGGAAGACCUCUCUGAGAAGGUACCAUUUGAGCCAAGACUUGAUGACCUGGCUCCUGCAUGAGGAUGGAAGGUGGGGAAGCUGAUGGGAGCAGCGAGAGAGGUGGGAGCAGUUAGAGGCUAUUGCAGCAGUCCAGGUAAGAAGGAAUGGUGGCUUGGACAAGGAGGUGGUAGCAGAGAUGGGGCAGAGAUGGCCAGAUUCCAGAUGUAUUCUGAAGGUAGAGCUGACAGAUUUGCUGAGGAACUGGAUGCAGAAUAGGAGGGAACCAGAGGCAGUCAAGGAUGACUCCAGAUUGUGAGCUGAACAAUGAGAAGAAUAGAUUGAGAUGGGGAAGUCUGGCAGAGGAAACAAGAAGUUCUGCUUUGGCCAUGUUAAGUUUGAGAUGCCUAUUAGAUAUUCCAAGUGGAGAUGUCAAAUAUGCAGUUGGAUAUAUGAGUUCUGGGAAGAGGGCCAGCCUUGAGCUAUAAUUUGGAGAGUCAUCAGCUUAUAGGUGACAUUUAAAGCAAUGGGACUGGAUGAGAUCACCACUGAGGGCGGAGUACGUGUAGAUGGAAGUAAUGCUUAUUCAGCUAGCAAUAUUCUCUGAGCGUUUACUAUGGGCCAGGCCCGGAGCUAGGUGCUAGGUACAGAGAUGGACUUCCUUUGGCACCUGCCCCAGAGAAGCUCUAUUACUUACUUAAUUUUCCUGCCUAAGUGCUUUGGCCAUGUAGAGGAUGAGCCUUGAGUUCCUACCCUGUCUCUUAGUCACUUAGUCCUUUUUUUUCUCUUUUUUCUUUUUUUGAGACAGAGUUUCGUUCUUGUUGCCCAGGCUGGAGUGCAAUGGCAUGAUCUUGGCUCACCACAACCUCCGCCUCCUGGGUUCAAGCAAUUCUCCUGUCUCAGCCUCCUCAGUAGGUGGGAUUACCGGCAUGCACCACCACAUCGGGCUAAUUUUUUGUAUUUUUAGUAGACAUGGGGUUUCUCCAUGUUGGUCAGGCUGGUCUUCAACUCCCGACCUCAGGUGAUCCACCCGCCUCGGCCUCCCAAAGUGCUGGGAUUACCUGCGUGAGCCACCGCACCCUGCAUCAUUUUUUCAGCAGACAUUUGUUGAGCACCUGCUUGAUACAAGGCACCCAUCUAGGCACAAGGGACAUGAAGCGAGUCAGACACAGUUCCUAUCCUUUUGGCGUUUACAUUUUAUAUGUGGAGACAGACAUUGAACAGGAUGCACACAGGAUCACAGGAUGUGACAAAUGCAGUGGAGGAGAAAGAUAGGCUGGUGUGAGAGCUGUUAAUGGGGGCUCUGCUCUAGCCUGGGAGACAAGGAAGGCUUUUCCAGGAGUCACAUUAGAGGAACAAUCUAUACAAGCAGGGAACUAGGCUGGGGGAAGUGCAGGGAGCUUUUUAGGUGGAAAGAACAGCAUGUUCAAAGGCCUGAAGCUGGAAGGAGGCUGGCUGACUUGGCUCCAGAGAAGCUGUUGGGGGAGUGUGGGAGAGACAAGACAGGGAGUAGGGGUGGGGAGAAGCCAGACCUUUGGAAUCUUGUAAGCCUGGUUAAGACACGUGGACUGUAUUCUGCGGCCACCAGUGGCUCUGUUGAGGUGGGAAAUUAAAGAAAAGUAAAAUUAAAAAGAAAGAGAAAUAAGUUUUUCUGUAUUAGGCUGACUUGUCCCAGAGGCAGCAAUAGGCACAGGCCAGACCCAGGAAAAUUCUUCAUAAUAUUAUCUAAUGUGCUCUGGAGAUUCUCCCAGUACUCCCUCAACAUAGGGAGAAGAAAAACAAAUUUUCCUUUGUUUUAUGGAAUGAGUUUAUAGAUUCCUGUUCUCUGUAACUAGUGACUUCAAGUAUUGUUUUAUCUAAGCAGUGGAGUGAAGGUCAUGAGCCUCUGAGCUGGCCUGAGUUACGGCCACCUGGGCGCCAUAGUGAAGGUUAUGGGAUAAGCCUGUGCCUGGGCAAACCUAGAUAAGGGACAUCUGGGUUGCUUGGCAACGGUCAUGUGCAAUCCUGAGUUUGUCCUGCCUCUAUAUCCCUGCUUUCAUGCCACUGUAAGCUUGCUUCAAGCUAGCCCACCCCCUUUUGUGAAGUGUGUAUAGAAGUCAAGUGCUGUCUUUCUUCCGGGCCCAGUCUUUUGGACGUUGAGUCAGCUGGGUCUGAGUGCACUCAAUAAAUGAUUCUCCUGUUUUAGAUUGAGACCAUCCUGACUAACACGGUGAAACCCCGUCUCUUCUAAAAAUACAAAAACAAAAUUAGCCAGUCGUGGUGGCGGGCUCCUGUAAUCUCAGCACUUUGGGAGGCCGAGGUGGACGGAUCAUGAGGUUAGGAGAUUGAGACCAUCCUGGCUAACAUGGUGAAACCCCGUCUCUACUAAAAAUACAAAAACAAAAUUAGCCGGGUGUGGUGGUGGGCGCCUGUAGUCCCAGCUACUCGGGAGGCUGAGGCAGGAGAAUGGCGUGAACCCAGUAAAUACUGCACAUGUGUAAUGAGCCGAGAUCGUGCCACUGCACUCCAGCCUGGGCAACAGAGCAAGACUCCGUCUCAAAAAAAAAAAAAAAAAAAAAACAGGCCGG